rnacentral:rRNA from 1 species
GACGAACGCUGGCGGCGUGCUUAACACAUGCAAGUCGAACGCAGUGGCGAACGGGUGAGUAACGCGUAAUCAACCUGCCCUUCAGCGGGGGACAACAGUUGGAAACGACUGCUAAUACCGCAUACUGAAGGAGGGGAUUGCGUCUGAUUAGCUAGUUGGAGGGGUAACGCCCCACAAAGGCGAUGAUCAGUAGCCGGUCUGAGAGGAUGAAAGGCCACAUUGGGACUGAGACACGGCCCAGACUCCUACGGGAGGCAGCAGUGGGGAAGCUUCCGCAAUGGACGAAAGUCUGACGAAGCAACGACGCGUGAGUGAUGACGGCCUUCGGGUUGUAAAGCUCUGUUAAUCGGGACGCGGUACCGGAAUAGAAAGCCACGGCUAACUACGUGCCAGCAGCCGCGGUAAUUC